UAGGGAAUCUUCCACAAUGGACGCAAGUCUGAUGGAGCAACGCCGCGUGAGUGAAGAAGGGUUUCGGCUCGUAAAGCUCUGUUGUUAAAGAAGAACGUGGGUAAGAGUAACUGUUUAGGUAUUGACGGUAUUUAACCAGAAAGCCACGGCUAACUACGUGCCCG
rnacentral:rRNA from 1 species